rnacentral:tRNA from 2 species
GGGGGUGUAGCUCAUUUGGCAGAGCGCGUCAUUAGCAUCUUCUUUCCUAAAGAUUCUUGACGAGGUACUGGGUUCAAUUCCCAGCUCCUCCA